rnacentral:tRNA from 1 species
GAGCCUCUAGUAAAAUAGCAAUUACAUUGCCUUGUCAGGGCAAAAUUGUGGGUUGAAAUCCCACGUGUCUUA